AUGAAACAAGGAAGACAAAACAGCCAGAUAGCCCUACUUUGACCUAAAGUAAAAUCCCAGAGGAGGAGGAUCGUCUUCCCUGGGGUUAGAAUUUGCAGUAACAGGUGUGGAUAUCCUAGCAGCAGUUUGGUGGUCAUGCAUGAUACUGCAAACAGGA